rnacentral:rRNA from 1 species
UUCCUACGGGUGGCUUCAGUCGAGAAUCUUCGGCAAUGGGCGCAAGCCUGACCGAGCGACGCUGCGUGUGGGAUGAAGGCCCUUGGGUUGUAAACCACUGUCAGAGGGGAUGAAAGCGUAAGCUUGACAGAGCCUCAGAGGAAGCGCGGGCUAAGUUCGUGCCAGCAGCCGCGGUAAUACGAACUGCGCGAACGUUAUUCGGAAUCACUGGGCUUACAGGGUGCGUAGGCGGCCGAUCAGGUCCGAUGUGAAAUCCCACAGCUCAACUGUGGAAUGGCAUUGGAAACCGACCGGCUCGAGUGAGCUAGAGAUGUACGGAACUUCCGGUGGAGCGGUGAAAUGUGUUGAGAUCGGAAGGAACACCAGAGGCGAAAGCGGUACAUUGGGGCUUGUCUGACGCUGAGGCACGAAAGCUAGGGGAGCGAACGGGAUUAGAUACCCUGGUAGUCCG